GGACGCCGUGGACAGGUUCCCCUUGCUUGAGGAAUUCGCCGACGGCGUUGAGCAUCCAGAUCCAGUUCCUCUGGGGCGGAUGCAAGCGAACGAGCCCAGUUACGCGGGUAGCCCUGUAUCAAAAGAUGAUUCUGGGUGCGGCCAGCAGAUUGGCGAAGUUGAGGUGAACGGAAGGCAACCUGCUGCUCGCCGCCGUACGAACACAUCUCCAACUCGGUCUGGACAGUCAACUGACAGGGUGAAUCCAGAAGCACCCGGGUGGACUAAAAGGUACGAUUGCAGAGGCCCUCCUUUGUUAUUGCAAGAAUGCAUUUGCUGUGCUGAGUUCAGGGGAAUGGUUUGCCAAUAUCUACUUGUGAUAUUGAACUUCAGAAAAAUGUACGUUGGUUUCAGCAGAAGCUAAACCUGCGAAUUUGAGAAAAAUGUUUUGGCAAAAACAACUUGUGAGUUGAAACUGAAGAAAAAUAGAUAGUUCAAGGGUAGUGGGAGUUUAAAUUUGCGUUCGUGCUAAAGGAUGUGCUACUUAACUGUAAUCUGUUGAACUUUGACUGGUGGAAUAAGGUUACGGCUAGGGAGCGCGCCACCGGACAGGACACCAUGUCCCAGCCGUAUGAGCGCUCUGGAGGAGUCGAUGCGCAAGUACGCUAAAGAGCCCAGCAAAAAUGUGGUGCGGCCAACACUUGGUCUGACUUUUGAUUCGCUUGGUGAAGCAUACGACUUCUACAAUUUGUAUUCCUGGGAAACCGGUUUCGGCAUUAGAUAUGGAAAGAGUCGGCUGAACGUUGAGAGGAUAAAGUGCAUGCAAGAAAUAGUGUGCGGUUGCUCGGGGAAGCCAGAAGCAGAAAAUAGUAGAUCGUGCAGGUGUGAGUGUCCAGCUUUGAUAAGAUUGUUGCGAGCAGCGGACAACAGCUGGUACAUUACAGAACACAGAGAGAACCAUAAUCAUUCAAUGUCAUUGACAAUGGGUGAGAAAGUUCACCGGCCGUCGCACAAGCACAUUGAUGUGUACACUAAGGAUCUCAUAAAACAGCUACGGAAGAACAAUGUUAACCUUGGCAAGGUGUACAGCAUAAUAGGAUGUUUCUUCGGGUCGGUUGAGAAGGUUCCAUUCACUAAGAGGACUCUGAGGAACAUAUGCGGGAAGAUCAGUCAGGAGCAGGCCGAUGAUGAUGUUAGGAAGACACUUGAAGUGUUCGCUGACAUAUAGUCUGGUGACCCUGGUUUCACAUACAGAGUGGUGGCUGAUGAUACAAGCAAAGUGAAGAACCUGAUGUGGGCAAACGGGAGCAGCCGUAUGCAGUACCGUUUCUUUGGAGAUGUUGUCACUUUCGACACAACAUAUAGUACUAACUUGUACGACAUGCCUUUUGGAUUACUUGUUGGGGUAAACAAUCAUUUUCAGAGCAUCAUCCUCGCUGGGGUGCUGAUGUGCGACGAGCAGCAAGAGAGCUUCGAAUGGGUUUUCGCCGAGUUCCUUCGAAUGAUGGGAGGACCUGCCCCAAAGACUAUCUUGACAGAUCAGUGCAGAGCUAUGGAACUAGCUAUCAAGAAGGUGUAUCCAGAUACGAUGCAUAGGUGGUGCAAGUGGCACGUGCUGAAGAAAGCAAAGGAGAGUCUAGGACCUUUGUACACCAAAAAAAUGACUUCCAAGCUGAUUUUCACAAAGUCGUGAACCACAUGUUAACCGAAGAUGAGUUCGAGACGACAUGGGGUAUGUUGCUGGAUAAGUACAAUUUGCGAAAGCACGCAUAUAUGACACAGAUUUAUGAGAUUCGAACAAAGUGGGCAAAACCAUACUUUAGAGGUGUUUUCUGUGCCAAGAUGACCAACAAACAACGGAGCGAGAGUGCCAAUCACAUGUUGAAGACAUACAUGCCCCCAGCGAGCCCCAUGCAUGUGUUUGUCAGGCAGUAUAUGAGACUGCAAUUUGACAGGGAGCGUGAAGAGAGCUACGAGGAGAAAAGAACUAUGAUUGGAGGUGCAGUGAGAAGAACAAAUUUGGCUAUAGAGAGGCACGCCAGUAAAAUAUACACCCGAUCUAUGUUUGACGAGUUUGGGACAUUUCUGAUGGAAGCCACAACAUAUAACAUAACGGAGAUAGAGAAGAUGAAGAAGUAUGUGGCAACCCAUAAUAAUGCGGCAAAGAGAGAGAGAUGGAGCAGAGUUGUUUAUGAGGUUACUGUCGUGGAUGAUCAAAAGGAGUUUACUUGUGAGUGUGGUCAAUUCGAACACACUGGUUUGUUGUGCAACCACAUUCUAAGGGUAAUGGAAAUACUACACCUAGAACAGAUUCCAGCUAAACAUAUUGUGAAAAGGUGGACGAAGGACGCAAGAGACAUUCUACCAAGCCAUCUGCAGCAGUACCAAAAGGACAAGCGGACCAACACAUCAUUCACAUGGAGGCAUUCGACAUUGUACUUCAAAGCUAUGGACGUCGUUCGAAUGGGGGAUGCGAGUCACAAUCAUUUGAUUUCAUGCUAGCUGGGAUGGAAGAUCUACUAGUGCGUGGAGCACCUAUUGCAGAGAGGAGAGAUGGCCUCGGGUUUGAGGAUCGGGUGACGACCUUAGACCCUGUGAGGCAAACUGAUAAUGGAGAAGUUGCUUUCGUGCUUGGUUCAGGUGCCGAUAAAGAGAAUAGCAUGGCACAUUCUAUCAGCAUCAAUGACUUGGAAGGGCUAGCAGCACCCGCUAAGCAGAGGGGGGUUGGUAGGCCAACAAAUAGCAGGGAGAAGGCACCGUACGAAGGACUCAGUCGACGUACACGUUUCUGCAGCAUCUGCAGGAGGGGAGGACACAAGAGAACUACAUGUCCUGAUAGAGGGGACGCACUAAAAAAGCCGAGGAAACCUGGUCGAUGCAAGAACUGUGGAAUCGAAGGUCACCGUCAGAACACGUGCACCAGGCCAUUGGGGUUCACUGCAAACUAGUUUUCAACAUUCAUGUCUUAUGUUUUGCCGAUCGGAAAUUACUAGUUUGUUGUAGUACGAUCUGCUCUUUGCAUGCUUAUCUCCACUUAGAUGGUAUUCAUAGUUGCAUGAUGAAUAAGAUUAUGUAGUGUCAGCUAUGCAUCCAUGCUCUAUGGCAAUGUAGCAAGAUAAAAUGUGCUGGACUUGAGUGAGGACUUUCGUGUUUCGUAUUGACUGAACCUGAAAUGUUUAUUUGACUGUCAUACUGAAGAAAAUAUUGUUUCCUGGUUUUUAGUACGACGGCAUGUGAGUAUAUGUGAAGAACAUGCAGAGUGGAGAUGUUUGGUUUGAAUGACACCUAAUGUGAGGAGACACAGUUUUCUGAUUCAGUGACUCACAACUAUGAGAACUCAUAGUCGGCGACAUGUGGCAACCAUGCGUGUGGUGGCUCAGUUUACUUCCAUGCGUGUGGAGCGCGCGCACCAUGGAGUUCAAAUUUUGAACAAGCUAGUAAAUGCAUAAGUUGUGAGCCCUGGAUAGCAUACGACGCAGAAACCAGUAUAAAGGCCGAGGGUGAGGCAGCUGCCUGCCUGGUAACCACUUUCACAAAGUGUUCAUCUCGUAGAGCAGGGGCGUCGAAGGACUCUGGAGAUGGCACCAAGCGCUGCUGAGCCUGAAAGCAGUGGCACGACGAGGAGGUCUCAAUUGAGUGGUUCAGCCUUCGGUCUUGAGGAUCAGGCAAAGGCCUCUCCUUUGGUGGCAUCAGCGGAAAGCUGCUGGAGUACAACUGAUUUGGCUCCGCACGGUGUAGACGUGCCAGACGAGGGGCAAGUUGUUCAAGCAGAUCGUUGGGAGACUUGUUUGCUCGCUCAGGAAGUGGACAUGAAGGCGGAGGAAGGAGAUGUUCAGGAGGGGUUCGGCGAGCACGAUCCAUCCGUCCAGACGACAGGCGAUGGCACUGCGGACGAACAAGUUUCAGAAGAUGCCUCUGCUGUCAUGGACUCAUUGAGAAAGGGAAGCGACGAGGAAGAAGAAGUCAGCAGCAGGGUGGCGAAGCGCCCGCGUGUGGAAUCUUAGUUUGUGAUUUCCGUUCGCAGUUUGUAAUGAGAGUAUCUGUCGGCAGCUAGAAUUAUCUGUGUCUCCAAUCC